rnacentral:RNase_P_RNA from 1 species
CAACUGCAGUAAAUGAUCGCGGCUUACUGGAGUUUUCCAGUAAGGUGAGGAAAGUCCGGGCUUCGCAGGGCAGGAUGCCGGAUAACGUCCGGUGGAGGUGACUCUAAGGCCAGUGCAACAGAAAUAUACCGCCAAAAUAGAAAAAUUGUUCUAUUUUGGUAAGGGUGGAAAGGUGGUGUAAGAGACUACCGUGUGGCUGGUAACAGCCAUAGCCAUGUAAACCCCAUCCGAAGCAAGACC